rnacentral:tRNA from 1 species
UCCCUCCUAGUUCAGUCAGUAAAGAUUCUGCCUGCAGUGCAGGAGACCCAGGUUCAAUCCCUGGGUCGGGAA